rnacentral:rRNA from 1 species
UAAGGUGGUUAUAGCGACGGGGCUCACCUCUUACCUUUCCGAACAGAGAAGUUAAGCCCGUUAGCGCCGAUGGUACUGCUUACUGUGGGAGAGUAGGUCGCCGCCUUUU